CCUUACAACAGCUUCUCUACUACAA
rnacentral:piRNA from 1 species